UACAUGGGGUGCAAACGUUGCUCGGAAUUAUUGGGCGUAAAGCGCACGUAGGCGGUCUACCAAGUCGGAUGUGAAAGCCCUCGGCUCAACCGAGGAAGUGCAUCCGAAACUAGCAGGCUUGAGUACGAAAGAGGGUCGCGGAAUUCCCGGUGUAGAGGUGAAAUUCGUAGAUAUCGGGAGGAACACCGGUGGCGAAGGCGGCGACCUGGGUCGAUACUGACGCUGAGGUGCGAAAGCGUGGGGAGCAAACAGG
rnacentral:rRNA from 1 species